rnacentral:rRNA from 1 species
GACGAACGCUGGCGGCGUGCUUAACACAUGCAAGUCGAACGGUAAGGCCUUUCGGGGUACACGAGUGGCGAACGGGUGAGUAACACGUGGGUGAUCUGCCCUGCACUUCGGGAUAAGCCCGGGAAACUGGGUCUAAUACCGGAUAGGACUGCGCGGUGCAUGCCGUGUGGUGGAAAGAUUUAUCGGUGCAGGAUGGGCCCGCGGCCUAUCAGCUUGUUGGUGGGGUAAUGGCCUACCAAGGCGACGACGGGUAGCCGGCCUGAGAGGGCGACCGGCCACACUGGGACUGAGACACGGCCCAGACUCCUACGGGAGGCAGCAGUGGGGAAUAUUGCACAAUGGGCGCAAGCCUGAUGCAGCGACGCCGCGUGUGGGAUGACGGCCUUCGGGUUGUAAACCUCUUUCAGCAGGGACGAAGCGUGAGUGACGGUACCUGCAGAAGAAGCACCGGCCAACUACGUG